AUUCCAGCUCCAAUAGCGUAUAUUAAAGUUGUUGCGGUUAAAAAGCUCGUAGUUGGAUUUCUGUUGAGGUUGGGCGGUCCGCACUACGUGCGAGUAUCUGCUUCGGCCUUGGCAUCCUCUCGGAAAACGCUACUGUGCUUGAUUGCAUGGUGCGGGGUUCGGGACUUUUACUUUGAGGAAAUUAGAGUGUUCACGGCAGGCAAUCGCCCUGAAUAUAUUAGCAUGGAAUAAUAAUAUAGGAUCUGAUGCCUAUUUUGUUGGUUUCUAGGCGUGAGAUAAUGAUUAAUAGGGACAAUUGGGGGGAUUCGUGUUAUGGCGUCAGAGGUGGAAUUCUUGGAUUGCCAUACGACGAACUACUGCGAAAGCAUUUCUCAGGGAUGUUUUCAUUG
rnacentral:rRNA from 1 species